rnacentral:rRNA from 1 species
UACGUAGGGGGCUAGCGUUGUCCGGAAUCAUUGGGCGUAAAGAGCGUGUAGGCGGCCCGGUAAGUCCGCUGUGAAAGUCCAGGGCUCAACCCUGGGAUGCCGGUGGAUACUGUCGGGCUCGAGUCCGGAAGAGGCGAGUGGAAUUCCUGGUGUAGCGGUGAAAUGCGCAGAUAUCAAGGAAGAACACCCGUGGCUAAGGCGGCUCUCUAGUAACGGUACUGACGCUGAGACGCGAAAGCGUGGGGAGCGAACAGG